rnacentral:lncRNA from 1 species
UCGGGCUGGAGCGCCUGAAGCCGCGACCGCCGCCUCAGCCGCCUCAGCCGCGGUCGCCGCCGCUUCGGCUGACUUAGGCUCCGCCGCCGCCUCCUCACCCGCCUCGCCCCGACCCCGCCCGGGCCUCCCGGCCUCUCCCCGCCGGCCCGCGGGCUCGCCGUCCGGCGCAGGGCAGAAUUCACCUGCAAAGUCAUCUCGGUCAGCACUUUUCUUUGUGGGAAGGUUUUAUCUUGAAUGCAGUUUCUUUGGACUGUCUACAAGAGAGAAGCUCCCCACGUGGUUCCGUAUGGACAGUGUGUCACCCUCGGGGAGCAGGUGGGCUGGCAGGACAGGCGGCCCCAGGCCGGGAGAAGGAGACACUCCCAGGUACUCUCGUCUACCCCUGCUGGUGACCUGCCUGCCCGGCCCCGUUCUGUUCCAGAUGAUGGCUCACCUGUGACCCUGCCUGCCCUGCCCAGCUUCGCCCCCAUGUCUGCCUGUCCCCAACCUCAGUGCUGUCGGCUGACCUACCUCAGCCCACGCCCUGCCCUCUUUUUUCCCACCCCACGGGGCCGAUCCUGACUUCUGGUUGCUCCCUUUGCUUGACCGUUCUCUUGAGGUUCUUAACCCUGAACUGCACCCGACUCCCAUUGACCUCACUCACUGUGGGCCGCCACGAGGGCCCCUCAGAGACGAUGCUAACGGCCUCUCAGAUGCUGACCUGCUUCAUGUCUAUUUCCUUUUACAGG